GCAAAGCCUCAGGCUGCCUGGGGAGCCUAUUGGUUUGGCUGAUAAGCCAUGGCUGAAAGUACUGUUCGCUGAUUUGUUGUGAGAGAAAAACACUGCUGAAUGGCUGGUAGAUUUGGCAGAUUAGCCUCAAGCCUCAACCAAUAGCAAUAGGAAACCACUAGAAAAAUGCAGAGAUAUCUAAGGUUCAAAGGAUUUAAGUCUGCCUAGCACUAGAUAAGCCUGGGGGCAUAGUCCAUUUCUGGCUCCAAACUGGUUAUAAAGUGUAUCCAACUUUUAUUUAACUUGUUGGGCUUGCA
rnacentral:lncRNA from 1 species